rnacentral:rRNA from 1 species
GAUGAACGCUGGCGGCGUGCCUAAUACAUGCAAGUCGAGCGAACAGAUGAGGAGCUUGCUCCUCUGACGUUAGCGGCGGACGGGUGAGUAACACGUGGAUAACCUACCUAUAAGACUGGGAUAACUUCGGGAAACCGGAGCUAAUACCGGAUAAUAUAUUGAACCGCAUGGUUCAAUAGUGAAAGACGGUUUUGCUGUCACUUAUAGAUGGAUCCGCGCCGCAUUAGCUAGUUGGUAAGGUAACGGCUUACCAAGGCAACGAUGCGUAGCCGGCCUGAGAGGGUGAUCGGCCACACUGGAACUGAGACACGGUCCAGACUCCUACGGGGGGCAGCAGUAGGGAAUCGUCCGCAAUGGGCGAAAGCCUGACGGAGCAACGCCGCGUGAGUGAUGAAGGUCUUCGGAUCGUAAAACUCUGUUAUUAGGGAAGAACAAAUGUGUAAGUAACUAUGCACGUCUUGACGGUACCUAAUCAGAAAGCCACGGCUAACUACG